GCGUUAUCGGAAUUACUGGGCGUAAAGCGUGCGCAGGCGGUUUGCUAAGACCGAUGUGAAAUCCCCGGGCUCAACCUGGGAACUGCAUUGGUGACUGGCAGGCUAGAGUAUGGCAGAGGGGGGUAGAAUUCCACGUGUAGCAGUGAAAUGCGUAGAGAUGUGGAGGAAUACCGAUGGCGAAGGCAGCCCCCUGGGCCAAUACUGACGCUCAUGCACGAAAGCGUGGGGAGCAAACAGGAUUAGAUACCCUGGUAGUCCACGCCCUAAACGAUGUCAACUAGUUGUUGGGGAUUCAUUUCCUUAGUAACGUARCUAACGCGUGAAGUUGACCGCCUGGGGAGUACGGUCGCAAGAUUAAAACUCAAAGGA
rnacentral:rRNA from 1 species